rnacentral:rRNA from 1 species
AACGAACGCUGGCGGCAGGCCUAACACAUGCAAGUCGAACGCAUCCUUCGGGGUGAGUGGCGCACGGGUGAGUAACACGUGGGAAUGUAUCCUUUGGUUCGGAAUCACGUCUGGAAACGGACGCUAAUACCGGAUGAGCCCUCUGGGGGAAAGAUUUAUCGCCGAAGGAGCAGCCCGCGUCUGAUUAGGUAGUUGGUGGGGUAAAGGCCUACCAAGCCGACGAUCAGUAGCUGGUCUGAGAGGAUGAUCAGCGACACUGGGACUGAGACACGGCCCAGACUCCUACGGGAGGCAGCAGUGGGGAAUAUUGGACAAUGGGCGCAAGCCUGAUCCAGCCAUGCCGCGUGAGUGAUGAAGGCCUUCGGGUUGUAAAGCUCUUUCGCACACGACGAUGAUGACGGUAGUGUGAGAAGAAGCCCCGGCUAACUUCGUGCCAGCAGCCGCGGUAAUAC